AGCACAGUUACGUCUGUUGCCACAUGUCAACAUGUAGACACAUGGAAGUUAUGUCAGCAUCUCUACUGACUUUUGUGUACCAGUGCUAUGUCUCACAAUACUGAAGGCACUCUCAGAACUCCUGGUGGAGUCCCAGACAUUUGAGACGUGAAGCUCUAAAUGUAGAACUCUCAGCUCCUUCUUCAGCACAAUGUUUGUCUGUGCGCGCCAUGCUUACCUCUAUGAUGAUGACAGAAUGAACCUCUGUACUGUUAGCGACAACUCUAACAAAUUAAAUUAUGAGAUGGAGUGAAGCACCACCAGCACCAGCACCACCACUACUACCACUGCCAUCAGUUGGUACAACCACCACCUCCACCUCCAAACCCUUCUGGAACCUGGGUUCCACCAACAAAACUUCCUGAAGUUUAAAUGGAAGUUCCCUGAAUGGAUGAAUAAAACUGCUCCCAGAAAA